CUAUCAUGCCAAGUCCCAGUCCAAGCCUCGAGCUUGGGCACUAAGUGUCCUCAUUCAUAGGCUACUUGAUAAAUCUAAUUCUGCAACAGAAGUGAUGGUAAUUGAUCAUAUUAAGCACGCCAUCUAUUCUCUUCUUGUUUUCAUGUGCUUUGGGGACAAGCUGGACGAGGCUCAAAUCAAGCAGAUCACAGAUUUACAACAUCGAGCACUUUUAGCAAUGAUCCAAUUUAAAAUACUUAACAUUUUUCCAAGAAUUGGAAAAUUAAUUUUUAGAAAUCGUUGGAAAGAGCUAACUGCAUUACGAAAAGAGGUAGAUAGCAUGUUCAUACCUCUAAUACUAGCUCGAGUAAAAUACAUAGAAGAAAAAGCUAAGGAUGGAGUUCAUUUCAUAAAACAGAAGAGCAGAAGGUAGCUUAUGUGGAUACAUUGCUAAAUUUAGAAUUGCCAGAGGAAAAGAGGAAGCUCACUUAUGAAGAGAUGGUCAGUCUCAGCGGUGAGUUCCUUGGUGCAGCUAGCGAUACAAUGUCCACCUCCUUGCAAUGGAUUAUGGCCUGUUUGGUCAAGUACUCUUCCAUUAAAGAAAAGCUAUAUAAGGAAAUAUGUAAAAUUGUAGGAGCAAGCAACCCCCACUUCCAACUGAGAGGUUGUGAGUUCGAGUCUCCCCAAGAGCAAAGGUGGGCAGCUCUUGGAGGGAAGGAUGCCGGGGGUCUAUUUGGAAACAGCCUCUCUACCCCAGAGUAGGGGUAAGGUCUGCGUACAUACUACCCACCCCAAACCCCACUAAGUGGGAUUAUACUAGGUUGUACUUUUUGUAGGAGCACUAAAAUCAAAGGGAGAAAAUAACAAUAAGUUGAUAAAAGAGGAGCAUUUACAGAAAAUGCCAUAUUUAAAGGCAGUGAUAUUAGAAGGUCUUAGAAGGCACCCACCAUCUCAUCUUUUGCUGCCACAUAGGGUGGGAGAGGAAAUGGAAUUGAGCGGCUACGUCAUACCAAAAAAUUCUAUAAUCUAUUUCAUGGUGAGAGAAAUGGGUUUAGACCUAAAGGUGUGGGAGGAUCCAAUGGAAUUUAAGCCAGAGAGGUUCUUGAAUACUGAUAGGAAUGGCGAACCGUUUGACAUUACAGGAAGUAGAGAGAUCAAGAUGAUGCCAUUCGGUGUGGGGAGGAGAAUAUGCCCAGGCUAUGAUUUUGCUCUGCUCCAUUUAGAGUACUUCGUGGCUAAUUUGAUUUGGCAUUUCGAAUGGAAGCCUGUGGAGGGAGACGAUGUUGAUUUAACUGAGGAGUUAGAUUUCACCUUUACCAUGAAGAAUCCACUACGAGCUUGCAUUAGUCCCAGGCUGAACUGAUUAAUUAUAUAUGUUUAUCGUUUCUUUUGAAACUUGAUUGGCAACACUAUAACAAAGUCAGUAAUAGUUGAACGUCUUGUUGUAUCUUGUAUGUAUAUUUUCCUAUAAAUCACACAGUACCAAAGUCAUAUAUAUUGACUUUAACUAUAUAGAAAUUCCUAUCUGUCAUUUGUGGCUAGCAGUGUAAAAAAUCCCUAUUAAUUUUGUUCUAAAGUAGUUCAGAAUUGACAAUAUCUGUUAUUUGACUAAGCAUCAUGCUGAUACAAGGAGAAUUUAGUUUUUAUAAAUUUCAUGUCAUUCCGGAAAAACAGAACAAUUAACCAAAUCAAAGCAAAGAUGGCCAUUUUGUCAUUCAACCACAAGUUGCAGUGUAGUUAAUUCAUUGUUCAAUCCAAAGAUUUGCAUUUAUCUAGGACUGAUGCGAGCUCUUGGUGAAUUCUUCAUUGUAACAGUGAAAUCUAAUUUUUCAGUUAGAUCAACGCCGUCUCUAUCCAUAGGUUUCCAUUCGAAAUGCCAAAUCAAAAUUAGCUACAAAUUACUGCAAAUGGAGCAGAGCGAAACCAUAGCCCGAACUUAAUCUCCUCCCAACACCAAAUGGCAUCCUCUUAAUCUCUCGGCUCCCUGUUAUAUCAAACUAUUCACUCUCCAUUCACCAAAAAUCUAUCUGGUUUAAAUUCUAUUGGAUCAUCCCACACAUUUGGAUCCAAACCCAUUUCUCCCACCAAGAAAUUAAUUGUAGCAUUUUUUGGGUAUUUUAUAGCCGUUAAAUUCAACUUCUUCCAUCACUCUGUGGCAAAAGAAAUUGGACUUGGCUAUUUCCAUAGAUUUCUAAAUAUUAUUUUGCCUAAUCUUGGGAAAAUCUCAAAUGUUUUGAAUCAACGAUAACCAAUAAGUGUUCGAUGUUAUACAUGUUUAAUUUCCCUAACUUGACCCUCAUCAAGUUUUACCCCGAAACACAUCAGGACAAGAAUACAGAAGAUGGCAUACCUAAAACGAUCAAAUCAGAAUGAGCUAGAAGGAGCCUUUGAAUGAGGAUAUCUGUAGAAACAUAAUAAAAUUAAGUAAUUGAAACUAUAUUUUCUCUAGCUAACAAAUUUAUAACCUCUUAUAUAAGAUCGAGAGAGGUCACAAGAUUAAUUAACAUGGUAGAUGAUAUGAUCGCAGAAUUAAAGAGUUACCUAGUACCCAGGGCCGGUUGUUGGAGAAGGAUGAAGCAUUUGUGAGAGGAGGUUUCUACGAAGAAGCCGCCAUGUGGAGCCCUAGUCCAGUGGUUGCAGUUUAAUAUUUUGGUGGUCGUCGUAGCGAUUGGGCCUAUCGGAGCAAAUGCCACCUCGUUGAACUAAAGGAAAGGAGAUAAGAUAAUAACAAAAUAUGGGGUAGACAGGCUGUUUUUAAAUAGAAAUCGGAAUACUUCCUACAAGAACGCGUUGCUACUCUUAUGUACAUGCAGAGAAAAUAUUUGUUGGGCAUAAUUGUGGGAAUGAAGAAAGACAGACUAGGAUGUACAUGGAGGGGAUUCGAUUUCCUAACAUGCUCU
rnacentral:lncRNA from 1 species